rnacentral:lncRNA from 1 species
AAGAUCUUUGUCUUUCUUUAUUCAUGCAUCAACAAUAUGUUUGAUGUUGGUGAAGGGUAGUAAAGGUUUUACUGCUGAGUCACAUUCAUAAAAGAGACAUAAAUGGUGUUAUGUCACAAAAUUUAAUGUCACAUAAAAUAUAUUUUAAUAUAUGAUAUAUGUCUUGCUGGUUGGGUCUUAAAUACUUGAAAUUAAUUAAGAAAGAGUUCUACGGAUUCUUCAAAGUAAUGUAUUAAUUUAGAAAAAGUGAUGCAUUAAAAGACAUAAUAUUUAUUGUUGAUGAAAUGAAUAGUAGUAUAAGAAAAGGGUGCUGACCAUGGUGGUGAGAGAAUAUUUCAAGAUACUCAUUAUUAUUAGUAUUGUAUUUAAUGCGCUUUUGUGGGCAUACAUAAGCAAUAUGUUUUCUAAAGAGAAAUGAUAGAUAGGUACAAAGAUUUUUUUUUUUGUUGAAGCAGAUAGGUACAAAGAUCAUGAUGUCUCUAAUAAGAUUGUUAGGUGGUCCAAGGGUGGUAAAACGGACCCAAUUCAUCGGAUAUAUCUGGAUAACCCGUUAUUUUUGACGGAUUGAGUUGAAGUUUUGAACUCACUUUUUAUAGUUGGUUCGUCUCGCUUAACUCAUUGAAAAAAUGGGGUGGGGACAGAGCGGAUAGGAUAGUCUGCUUAACUCGUUUUCUUUUGUUUUAGAUAUAUUUUAUUCCUUUGAAUUUAUUUUGGUUGUUAGAUUUAUUUUAAUAUUUGUUUUAAUGUUGCAGAUUUGUUUUAUGUUGGUGUUAGUCAAUAUUUCAAAAGGGUAUCAUUUAAUGUGGUCAAAGGAGCUGACCUUAUGGAAAGGGCUUGACCUUACAUCUCUGUCGAAGUUGCGCUCCUUGGAAGAGAAUCGAAGACGCGCGCCUCCGUUCGAUGGGCGAAGGGAUCUCGAAAAGCGGUUAUUUUUUGGAUAAGGUCAAGUGCUCAAACUACUAUAUUCGAUAUUUAAAUCGUAUGGCUAAGAUUAGGUAGUUUUCUGCAGUUAUAGUUUUAAAUUCAAACUAGGUAGUUAUCCUCUAUUUGUAUAAAUAGUAGUUUUUCUUAGGAAAAAAGUGUCACAAUUCAAUCAUACUAAAAACAUAUGCUCAAACUAUCCGUAUGAAAGCGAUAAACGAGUCACAAGUUGCAAUGUAUGAAUAUGUGUACCAAGUUAC